AUUGUUGAAGUUUAAACAACGUUAUCAACAAUAAGUGAAUGCGGAAAUUGCAAAUGCUAUUUGAAGGAAGGGUAGAUUAAAACUGCGUCCCAGAUGCGUCUGGAACAAAAUUAUUUGGCUUUUGUUGAAGGAUACAGUGCUAUUACAGAAUUAUAGAAAUGGAUAAAAAGGAAUUACGAGAUUAUCUUGGGCAAAAUCAACACUUUAACCCAAGUGCGAACCCGCAACAACCCAAUCAACGCUGGUGGAGUAACGUUAAACCAUUUCAGGGCUUGCAACGUCAAGGAUCCGCAGAUUCUUCGUCCUCUCCGACCACAAGCUCUCCGAUGGCUGGUUCCUCCGUCGUGUCAGAAAGUUUCAGAAGAAAGUUGUCCCGCUCUUUUUCGUCAGACGAACAUAAGGAUAGCAUUCUUACGUAGGAUGUACAGAUUUUUUACCCUACAAGAUUUUGCCCGAGAUCAAUUUCUGUAGAUAGCUUGGUCUGCCACUGUUUGCUUACAUUUUGUAGACGGCAUCUGAGGGUUUAAAUCUUAGUGCUAACCCCGCACAAUGUUUAACAUCCAACAACGGAAACAUCAACAAAUUGGACAGGACAUAAAAUCUCAUGAUAUGAAAACAGGGUCUUUCAAAUGAUAGACCCUGAUGGAAAGGACUGAUUCUAAAUUAAAGUGUUUACAUGGUAUUAGACUUUUUUAAUUAGUUUAUAUGUAUGUAAUAGUAAGAAUAAUAUUUUCAUAACGAAAGGAAAGACAUAUAUCAAGAAAUCGGAGACAAAAUGCAUGAAACGGGUUCGUCAUUUGUUUCCAUCUUUUCCAUCAUCAAUCAAUCGGAACAUCUUGGCUAUUAUCAAUGACGGAAAUGGCCGAAAAGUUGCGAUUGUGCAUCAAUAAUACACAUUUUACAUAAGUAGAUAUACUCAGCUGCUUUUUGGACAGUAUGUGCUCAUUUAUAACGUUACAUAAAAAUGUUUUUGCUUUUUUGCUAUGUUGUAGAUAUACCUAAUACACAACUUAUAAAAAAAUAAUAA